CCUACUAUUAAUUUGGAUGAAGUGUGUCUGGUGAAUUUCUGUUGGGAGCAGCAGUACCAACAAAAGCGAUGAUCUGUUACAAAUUAUUAUACGUUUUCCUAAGCAGAUGUGUUUGCUAUGCGGGCUAUGGUUGAAUAUUUUUCUUCAUGGUGAUUGGGAAGAUGGCUACCAACACCGACGGUAGCAUCAUCCAUCUUGCUAGCACACCGCCAAUCUGCACAGGUAUGGGAAUACCAUCUUGUGUUUUUUGUGAAUAACACCUUUAUCUGCAUGUUGUGUUUUUUUUGCUCAGUUGUUCAGUAGGACACUUAUGUACGAGUCACUCAGAUACAAUUAGUUUUUAUGUGACAGUGCAUAUGGUUUUCAGCAUAGUGUUGUUGCUACGAGUCUGCUGGUCAGCUACUUCCAGUUAUCCUCAUCGAGAGUUGAUAGUCGGAUUUCACCAAGAAAUAAAAACGGAGGAAAACCCUCAAGUCUUACUACCGAUAGCCUCAAACAAGAAUAUGGGUACUUUCUGUUGUAAUGAUUAUUAGAAUUGUUGUUUCUAAAAUUCAGUCUUCAGAAUUACUAUGGCUAAGUGAAGGUGAUAAAUAAUUCCAGUUUAACGAGUACUUGUGGAUUGUUUAGACGGAGGAGCACUCUUAGUUUUGUUCUUGGAUUCAAUUCUGAAUCAUUUAGUGUGCAAUUCAGAUUCACGCAGCAUUUUUCUUAAAUUUUGCCUGCCUGGAAAUUAUUACUGUCAACUUAAUACAUAGCAUGUCCUGAUGUUAAACAUGAUGCAUUUCUACACUACAGUCUACAUACUUGGUACAUAUAGCAUGUCUCUGCCGUCAGCAACCCCGUCUAGCUCACUUUUUCAGCGGCAUAGCCUUCUUCCAAUCUUAUGUCAAUUGGUCUUUGCUUUGUAGGCACUAGAAAGGAGACAAUCCUAUCCACUCUCACAAUGAAACAAGAGAAACAAUUUCCUUGCAGUCAUCUAUAAGGUCAGCAUGCUGGGGCUUGGUUUAUUUAUUUAUAUUUCUAUUUCUAUGCACACGUAAAAGGAUCUACGUAUCCACAAUUAAUUUGCUUACCCAUGUGAGUUUGGGGAUAUUAUUUUUUAUCUUGUUAGGAUGCAUGUCAGAUUUAAAUUCUCUUUUAUCUGUGUAUGUAGUGCAAUUUUUAUUUUGUAAAAACCUACUACCAAUCCACGCAUGAAGGUGCACUUAAUUUCUUAGUAUUUCUACGUGCAUUACUUCUCUUGAAUUUACUUAGUAAUAGUAUUUUGUUAUUUGGGUCUAAAGAUACCAAUAUUGCGACAAGUAAAUAAAUUGGGAGGAAAGUGAUUUGAACGUUAUACUGUUAAGGAUAAUAGACCAAAUUGAUUUGUAUAGAGGCGUGAAUAAUCAAAGCAAAAAGGGGAGUUGAUUAGUAAGGAGACAUCUAGGAUGUUUCGAAUUCUGUCAAAAAGCUCAAUAUAAAUAUGUGUAGAUGUGUUAACCUUUUUGUUCACUGAAUUUCUGGUAAUAUAAUUAGUACUACUCCCUCCGUUUCUAAAUAUAAGUCUUUUUUUAGAUAUUCCACUGCGGACUACAUACAAAGCAAAAUGAGUGAAUCUACACUCUAAAAUAUGUCUAUAUACAUUCGUAUGUAGUUUGUAUUGAAAUCCAUAGAAAGACUUAUAUUUAGAAACGGAGGGAGUAUAUGUUAUGGUGGAAAUUUUUUUCUUUUAAAUACACUAUAUAUCAUAGUUUCAAAUAGCCGGCUAUAGCGGAAGCUCCGCUAUAGCCUUUUCAGCAGGGUGCCGCUAAAUGGUCGCCAUCACAAAUAGCCCACUAAAGCUGAUUUGGAGGCCCGCCGCUAUUUUUCAUAGCCCGCUAUUUAAAACAUUGCUAUAUACACUGUGUACUAAAUGGUGGAGUCGUUGGCCGCCUGCCGGCCUCGACUGACAUAGAGAGGGAGAACACCCUAGAUGGGAUGCUCACGCAUUUGCGCCUCACCAAGGUUGACCGCCUCACAUGCUCCCUAGGCCAAAUUGAGAUGCCGUCUCGCGCCGCUGCGUGUUCUCAAAAAAAAAAAAAUCUCAGAUGCCAUUGUUCCAUUGACCUGAUUCUGAUUGUUUGCAGACUAAAUCGUGUUUUGAAAUUAUAUUCAUCAAGUGAGAGACACUUUCCAAUGUGCUAAGAUGCGCAUCUCAACAUCAUAGGAUUAUCACAUCUUGAAUUCUGGUUCUUAGAGCUUUGGUUUCUAACCCUUAUUUGCUUGUCUUGUCUUUUGUUCUUACGGGUUUCAAGCUUCAGCACAAAUCUUCUGUAGGAAAUCUUGUACUCAAAGUGCAGAAAAAUGCUGUUCUUGUGAAAUGUCACAGGAGCUACAUUACUAACAUUGUUGUAAUGUUUGUAUGGCAACCUAUUCUUUAAUCCGUUCAAUUACAGAGUUUAUGAUUAUGUAAAUGGAGUAUGGGAUCUGAGAAAAAAAAAGGUAAUAGUACUUUACUUCCCAGGCAGAUUUG
rnacentral:lncRNA from 1 species